GUGCUCGCUUCGGCAGCAUAUAUACUAAAAUUGGAAAGAUACAGAGAAGAUUAGCAUGACCCCUGCGCAUGGAUGGAGUGCAAAUUCGUGAAGCGUUAAAAUGAACU